AAGCAGGAUCUGCCAAGCAGGCAGACACGAGUCUGACAGGAUGGGGAGUCAGUUUAUGUCCUGGCUGAGGAAUGUAAGGUCUGCGGGUCAACUAGAAGAUUUACCAGCCAAAGGGGGACAGUUCUCACCAGACCACGAAGACAGACCACCAUCAAUAGGAGCACGUUCAACCGUUUUGCAAAUGGAUGCUGAUGCAAUCCGGCAUGAAUUCAUACUCUUAGAUGAGGCUGAGUUUAACCUGACAAAGGUUAGAAGAAGAGGGAGAAACCUCAUCGACCACAGAGCUUUUCUGCAUGUUCCGGCCCAACGUGGUGGUAACAUCACAAUGUGCGCCGCAAUCACGCAGAAUGGGGUCCUCCACCGCCACGCCAAGUUAGAUCCAAACAACACAAACCACAGGCCACAUGGCUUUGUCACACCAGAAGACCAGAUAGAGGCAGAGCAGAUGAGAUACGUUGUCAUCGGGGACCAUGUAUCUUAUCACCGAUCUGCUCAGGUCCAAGACUAGUUUCAACAGCACCCAUCAUUUUCAGUUCAGUACCUUCCACCAAACUCUCCCUUCCUUAACCCCAUUGAGGAGUUUCUCUCUGCACGGUGGUGGAAGGUUUACGAUCUCCAGCCCCAUGUCAGGAUACCCCUCAUUCAAGCCAUGGAGGAGGCGUGCAACCAGACUGAUGCAGGGUCUGUGCAAGGAUGGAUUCGCCAUUCAAGAAGAUUCUUCACUCGCUGUCUGGAGAGAGAGAACGUAGCCUGCGAUGUGGACAAAGAGCGACGGCCCGAUCCAGCU
ensembl:lncRNA